rnacentral:lncRNA from 1 species
AGUUUAACUCUGUUCACCUUGCAGAUUUUGUAAAAGCAUAGAUUAACAUUUACUGGAGAGUUUAUGCUUCUGCAUUCCAUUAAGUUGGAGGCAAGGAGAGUAUCAAGCAGCCCAAAAUAAUUAAGCCAGGAAGAUGUCACAUUAGUAAAAUCAGAAUAGCAUCCAAACAUGAACAGAAGACUGGAGAAGAUCGACAACAAUCAUGUGAGCCAAAUCCCAAUGACUGAAAACUUGAAAUUUACAUCAUGUUACCAUGAUAACAUUGAGUACCUUACAGAUGAUAAACUACAUUAUGAAUCUAAAGGCAUAUAGGUUUGACACAAAAGAUAAAUGCCCAAUGCUCUGAUAUAAGAAGAAUGUGUGGUCAUAUAUACAUAACAAUAAUUGCAAAACUACCUCUGGCUAGUGCUCUAACAAUUUCCAGAUUAAGAGUGGUUACCUGAAAUUAAAAGUAAACAGAAUGAUAAGAACAGAGACAAUUCUCAUUCUGAAAUUAAUUUGUAUAUAAACAGUUUAUUAAUAUUAAAAAUAGAUGUUCUCAUAAUAACCAAGGAUUAUGAAAAAUUCAGACCAAACAUAUAUAAGUAAAAAUAAAAAUAAAAACAAUUAAAUUAUCAAAACACUCCAGUGAUACCACUUGGCCAAUUUCUUCUAAUAUAUAAAAUAUGGCACUGAUGGAGACCCAAUCUUUCUUUCUUACAUUGUGGUAUGCGAGACUACACCAACCAAUCAUCCCUUCAGUGAUAUCUAACUUGAUUAAUCUCCUCAAUUCAUAAGAAAUAUAUCUACUGCUUACAAUCUAAACUUUGAUAAUUAUGGUAGACCCUAAAAAUAUAUUCAUCAUAAACCAUAUUCUAGAUUAUGUCAGACAUCAUGCCACCAAUCAAAUUCUCCCUUUUUAAAAUAGAAACUGUCAUCUCCACAUGUUAGAUUCAGAAUGCUUCUUUCUCAGGAUUGGUAAAUUUUGAGGGCCAGAGCUUCAAUUUUUAACAAAAUGUUCAAUGAUUUAUGCAAUAAUAGUACAAUUCUACAAUUUUGACAUCCGUUGUAACAUUAAUGGCAAAUCACUUCAUAAAUCAUUAUGGUUACAGAUUAGAACUUAUAAGAUCCCCCAAAAAUAACUAGAAAGAGCUUAUCAUCUACAUUUAGACUAAAUUGGAAGCAAAGAAUUUCGAGUUUUCACUGUCAAAUAUAGGACUGGGUUUUUUAUUAUCUACUUGGAUAGACAAGAAGUUAUUUAGCAGGUGCUAGGUACAUUGAUAUAACACUGUAAAUGUCAUACUUGUCUUGACAACCUCAACAAUUACAACUGCGGAUAUCUUGCCAUCAAUUACUUACAGAUAUUCGGGUAGCAACAAAGCCUCCUUUGACAAGAGGUUUAUUCAACGGCCCCUUGUGAACACCAGAUUUGCUAGCUUGGAAGUGCCCAAAAGAACCUGAGAUAAUCACCGGUUUGAAGACAAAAUAUAGUUGGAGAUAAUCACCGGUUUGAAGACAAAAUAUAGUUGGAAGACCGAUGUAAUGUUAGUAUAUGCGAUAUCAAAAUAUUAAAAAAAAAACAUUAAUUUUCCUAACAUUUCUAGUGUUUAAUUUUCAUGCGCUAUCAACAUGCCAUCAACCAAUUGAAAAUCAUCCCCAAGUAUGAC